rnacentral:rRNA from 1 species
UAGGGAAUCUUCCGCAAUGGACGCAAGUCUGACGGAGCAACGCCGCGUGAGUGAAGAAGGAUUUCGGUUCGUAAAACUCUGUUGUUAGAGAAGAACAGCGCAUAGAGUAACUGUUAUGCGUGUGACGGUAUCUAACCAGAAAGCCACGGCUAACUACGUGCCAGCAGCCGCGGUAAUACGUAGGUGGCAAGCGUUGUCCGGAUUUAUUGGGCGUAAAGCGAGCGCAGGCGGUCAAUUAAGUCUGAUGUGAAAGCCCCCGGCUCAACCGGGGAGGGUCAUUGGAAACUGGUUGACUUGAGUGCAGAAGAGGAGAGUGGAAUUCCAUGUGUAGCGGUGAAAUGCGUAGAUAUAUGGAGGAACACCAGUGGCGAAGGCGACUCUCUAGUAUGUAACUGACGCUGAGGCUCGAAAGCGUGGGUAGCAAACAGG